GUGAGCAGGACCAAAUGUCUGCAGUGUGGAAACCUCUUCAUUGAAAGAAUAUGUUUUUCUUGGCAAACUUUAUUCGCAAGAGAUUUGCCUUUCCUUCCUUUGAGACGGAGAGAGCAUGAUGUGUUUCCACGGCUGAAGAGGGCUUGAACCCCGGAUUUCCAGAGUCCUAGAUCAACAUUCAAACCACCUCUCAACACUGAUUCC
rnacentral:lncRNA from 11 species